rnacentral:rRNA from 1 species
UAACACAUGCAAGUCGAGCCGAAGUACUUACGGUCUUAGCGGCGGACGGGUGAGUAACGCGUGGGAACGUACCUUUCUCUACGGAAUAGUCCCGGGAAACUGGGUUUAAUACCGUAUACGCCCUUCGGGGGAAAGAUUUAUUGGAGAGAGAUCGGCCCGCGUUGGAUUAGGUAGUUGGUGGGGUAAUGGCCUACCAAGCCUACGAUCCAUAGCUGGUUUGAGAGGAUGAUCAGCCACACUGGGACUGAGACACGGCCCAGACUCCUACGGGAGGCAGCAGUGGGGAAUCUUAGACAAUGGGGGAAACCCUGAUCUAGCCAUGCCGCGUGAGUGAUGAAGGCCUUAGGGUCGUAAAGCUCUUUCGCCAGGGAUGAUAAUGACAGUACCUGGUAAAGAAACCCCGGCUAACUCCGUGCCAGCAGCCGCGGUAAUACGGAGGGGGUUAGCGUUGUUCGGAAUUACUGGGCGUAAAGCGCGCGU